GACGAACGCUGGCGGCGUGCCUAACACAUGCAAGUCGAACGGAAAGGCCCUGCUUUUGUGGGGUGCUCGAGUGGCGAAGGGGUGAGUAACACGUGAGUAACGUGCCCUUGACUUUGGGAUAAGUUCAGGAAACUGGGGCUAAUACCGGAAAGGAGCUCCCGCUGCGUGGUGGGGGUUGGAACGUUUCGGCGGUUGGGGAUGGACGCGCGGCUGAUCAGCUUGUUGGUGGGGUAGUGGCUUACCAAGGCUUUGACGGGUAGCCGGCCUGAGAGGGUGACCGGCCACAUUAGGCCCGAGAUACGGCCCAGCCGCCUACGGUAGGCAGCAGUGGGGAAUAUUGCACAAUGGGCGGAAGCCUGAUGCAACAACGCCGCGUGCGGGAUGACGGCCUGCGGGUUGUAAACCGCUUUCGCCUGUGACGAAGCGUGAGUGACGGUAAUGGGUAAAGAAGCACCGGCUAACUACGUG
rnacentral:rRNA from 1 species